UUUUUUUUAAUAUUUUUAUUAUUGUUGCUCAAGUUCCCUUCCAUCGAAAGCCGUGCUCUCAUUGCAGCCAUGUGUAAAAGACAAGAGAGAGGGGGCCAAAAGAGAAUGGAAUAAAGUAGGCGAAUAAAUUGACCUGAAGCGUGACAUGGUAGGGCCAGCACUGAAUCUCUAACUUCUUCAGCAAGUUCUCGGACUUGAGAAGCAAGUUGAAGAUGAAGAGCCCUAAUAAGUAAAUAAAAAUAUAAAAAAUGAUAAAUAUCUAAGAAAAAGCUUGUAGGUAACUUUCAAAGAAAGGGAAAAGAAGUCGAAAAGGACGGCAUCAGACCGACCCAGGCAUGGCUCUCAAACCAUAAUGCCAGUACAGUAUAAAUUCAUCUCUUCUCCUCUUAGACUGGACAUCAAAACUUCCCCACCCUAGCUCAAACGUUUAUCUCUGCUUCUUUCCUUGUUGCGGAGAACAUGAGAUGGAAGAAACUGAGAUAGCCAUGGAGUGUUCCUCUGCAGGAUUCGCUGUUAAGCCGGCCACUACCAAAGUACUUGUCAAUCAUUACUUGAAGCCAAAACGAAGAACAAAUAGCAGAUUCCCGAUUUACCCGUGUUUUUUCUGUAGAAAACACGGGUAGGAAUCAUGCACGAAUAUCACCUAAAUGCUACUUUUCUGUGGCAUACUUCCUUACACCGAUAAUCUGUCUUUGCCCUUCCUAUGGAAUACGAGAUGAGAAGGCUGAUAAUAAAUGAUGUUGAAUAUUUCUGAGGUGACAUUGGAUAUGAGGGAUAGAUCAUACUAUUAUGAAAAGAUUAAUAUACUGCAGAGAAGUCAACCUACGUUUGAUUACAUUGUUGAAGAUAAUUUCAACAAAGGCAGUACGCUUAUUGUAAACACAAUGAGCUUUGCAUUAGAGGCUAAAUUUUACCUCUCUAUUAUUCCUCCCCCAAAUAGGUCAUAGCUAUUUCACCUUAAUUAUCAUAACAACAUCGACUAGUCCAACAACGUAGUAUGAUGAGCAUCUUUCUUUCUUGUGGGGAUGCUGAUGAAAGAAUGCAAGUAUCUAAUGAAGAGUUCUCAGCUCCAGGGCAUAGUCACAUGAAGACCUUCUGUUCUCAGCUCAAGAAUAUACAGUAGAAAAAGUCAGACUCAACCUUGAAGUUUGAAGAUCAGUUAUAUUUCCAGUUCUCCCCGGUAGCAUUAUCUUAUGUUCUCAUUUAUCUCUCUUGUAAUGUAAUUCUACAACGGUAUCUGUCACGCUACUUUAUCAUUUUCUUUUGGCCCAGAAUCUGUAAUGCGAGUUGAUGAUGAUAUUUCAAGUCAGCUGAGAAGAGCAUAACAAAAUAUGAUUUUUUGCUGCUGAAGUUCACCUCAUCGUAACACUUUUCAAGAA